AGAUUGAACGCUAGCGGGAUGCUUUACACAUGCAAGUCGAACGGCAGCGCGGACUUCGGUCUGGCGGCGAGUGGCGAACGGGUGAGUAAUAUAUCGGAACGUGCCCAGUAGCGGGGGAUAACUACGCGAAAGCGUGGCUAAUACCGCAUACGCCCUACGGGGGAAAGGGGGGGAUCGCAAGACCUCUCACUAUUGGAGCGGCCGAUAUCAGAUUAGCUAGUUGGCGAGGUAAAGGCUCACCAAGGCGACGAUCUGUAGCUGGUUUGAGAGGACGACCAGCCACACUGGGACUGAGACACGGCCCAGACUCCUACGGGAGGCAGCAGUGGGGAAUUUGGACAAUGGGGGAAACCCUGAUCCAGCCAUCCCGCGUGUGCGAUGAAGGCCUUCGGGUUGUAAAGCACUUUUGGCAGGAAGAAACGGCGUGACUAAUAUUCAGCGUCACUGACGGUACCUGCAGAAUAAGCACCGGCUAACACGUAGCCAGCAGCCG
rnacentral:rRNA from 1 species